rnacentral:rRNA from 1 species
AUGAACGCUAGCGGCAGGCUUAACACAUGCAAGUCGAGGGGCAUCGGGAGUAGCAAUACUUGCCGGCGACCGGCGCAAGGGUGCGUAACGCGUGAGCAACAUGCCCGUAUCAGGGGGAUAAUCCAUGGAAACGUGGUCUAAUACCCCAUAGUAAUUAUGUAAGGCAUCUUAUAUAAUUUAAAGCUUUGGUGGAUACGGAUUGGCUCGCGUGACAUUAGCUGGAUGGUAAGGUAACGGCUUACCAUGGCUACGAUGUCUAGGGGUUCUGAGAGGAAGGUCCCCCACACUGGAACUGAGACACGGUCCAGACUCCUACGGGAGGCAGCAGUGAGGAAUAUUGGACAAUGGAUGGAAAUCUGAUCCAGCCAUGCCGCGUGCAGGAAGAACCGGCCCUAUGGGUUGUAAACUGCUUUUGUAUGGGAGCAAUAAGGGCUACGUGUAGUCCGAUGAGAGUACCAUACGAAUAAGCACCGGCUAACUCCGUGCCAGCAGCUGC